ACGCGUUGGGAGCUCUCCCAUAUGGUCGACCUGCAGGCGGCCGCGAAUUCACUAGUGAUUUACCGCGGCUGCUGGCACGUAGUUAGCCGUGGCUUUCUGGUUAGGUACCGUCAAGGUACGAGCAGUUACUCUCGUACUUGUUCUUCCCUAACAACAGAGUUUUACGACCCGAAAGCCUUCAUCACUCACGCGGCGUUGCUCCGUCAGACUUUCGUCCAUUGCGGAAGAUUCCCUACUGCUGCCUCCCGUAGGAGUCUGGGCCGUAUCUCAGUCCCAAUCCGGCUGACCAUCCUCUCAGACCAGCUACAGAUCGACGGCUUGGUGAGCCUUUACCCCACCAACUACCUAAUCUGCCAUCGGCCGCUCCACUCGCGCAAGGCCUUGCGGUCCCCUGCUUUCAUCCGUAGAUCUUAUGCGGUAUUAGCACAGCUUUCGCUGCGUUAUCCCCCACGAUUGGGCACGUUCCGAUGUAUUACUCACCCGUUCGCCACUCGCCACCAGGAUUGCUCCCGUGCUGCCGUUCGACUUGCAUGUGUAAGGCAUGCCGCCAGCGUUCAAUCUGAGCCAUGAUCAAACUCUAAUCGAAUUCCCGCGGCCGCCAUGGCGCCCGCAAGCAUGCGAC
rnacentral:rRNA from 1 species